GCUCUGCCCUUCCCUGUUUCCCUGCUCCUGUGGAAUUUGGGGCUCGUGGAGCACCCAGGGACCCCCAAGCCCGGGGAGCUCCCGGAUGGGAUGCAGGGAGCAGAGGGUGGGAAGGGAGGAGUGAGGGAAUCCCUACACAAGCCUGGUCUCAAGGAAGCUUUUCCAGGGAAGCUGAGCUCCUGUUAUCCAGGGAUGGCAGGAAUCCCUCCCAGGCCACAGGCUGCUCCUCUUCCUGCUGCUGGCCACAACCUAUGCAUGUUAUGGGAAGCUUCUAUCAAACUUUAAACGUUCUCUACAAAUUUAUCUCCCACACCUGUCUGCCCUGUUUCCCUGGCAGAAAUCAUGGAUAAUCCCAUCCCAUCCCCAGGAACAGGGGGAACCCCUGAGGCUGAGGCUCCCCCAGCUCUGGAGCACAAGGAUUCUUGGUGGCACCGCUCCAGGGUUAAAAUGUAACCUGGAAGCAGAAUUCCAGCCUGGCCCAGCUCAUUAUCAGGGAGCAACACCUGAGAGUGCAGGAGAAAGGGCUCAUUAAGGAGACUCUAAUUCCCCCUCCCUGCCCUGCCACAGGCACGGGAAGGAGAUUACAGCUCUUGCUCAGGGAGAGGAAAGCCUCGAUAAAGGCUGUGGAGCAAUCCUGGGAAAUGUGUCCCUGCCAGUUCUGUUUCCUUGGAUCACAGCAAGGGAAGUUCCCGUGGCCUGGGGAUCACGGUUCUCUGCUGGAAUUACAGGUGUGGAUGUGGCUCUCCAGCUUAAAUGUCAUUUAAUGUGGAAAACUCAGUGCCAAACCCUGCCAGCAGCACAGCUCUGGUCUCUCUCCAAGGAAAUAAAGCAGCUCCGUGUCCCCACGGGGAACAGAGAAUUCCCAGCACAAAUAAGGCAAGGAGGAAGGAGAACAGCUCGUGCUGCCCCCAGCACCUCUCCAGGUUCUGAGGGUGGUUUUCCUCCUUCCCAAGGCCCACACAGCAAUAAAUUGCCCUGCAGUAUCACAGGAAUGGUUAACCUUGAUUUGAGCUCAUGCAACACCUCCUUCCCAGCAAGGUCGAAUUCCAAAUAAUCCUUUGGAGAGGAAUCAAAUAAAAGCCAGGGCUGCUCCCUGGGCCAAAAGA